rnacentral:pre_miRNA from 1 species
UAGGGGAGUGCAGUAUCCUCGGCUGGAUCCGCGGCGCCCUGUGUUCCCGGGCCUGCGCUGUCGGAUUCGCGCUCCGGGCUAUGCAGCCCCUU